rnacentral:rRNA from 3 species
ACGGGUGAGUAAUGCCUAGGAAUCUGCCUGGUAGUGGGGGAUAACGCUCGGAAACGGACGCUAAUACCGCAUACGUCCUACGGGAGAAAGCAGGGGACCUUCGGGCCUUGCGCUAUCAGAUGAGCCUAGGUCGGAUUAGCUAGUUGGUGAGGUAAUGGCUCACCAAGGCGACGAUCCGUAACUGGUCUGAGAGGAUGAUCAGUCACACUGGAACUGAGACACGGUCCAGACUCCUACGGGAGGCAGCAGUGGGGAAUAUUGGACAAUGGGCGAAAGCCUGAUCCAGCCAUGCCGCGUGUGUGAAGAAGGUCUUCGGAUUGUAAAGCACUUUAAGUUGGGAGGAAGGGCAUUUACCUAAUACGUAAGUGUUUUGACGUUACCGACAGAAUAAGCACCGGCUAACUCUGUGCCAGCAGCCGCGGUAAUACAGAGGGUGCAAGCGUUAAUCGGAAUUACUGGGCGUAAAGCGCGCGUAGGUGGUUUGUUAAGUUGAAUGUGAAAUCCCCGGGCUCAACCUGGGAACUGCAUCCAAAACUGGCAAGCUAGAGUAUGGUAGAGGGUGGUGGAAUUUCCUGUGUAGCGGUG